rnacentral:rRNA from 1 species
UAGCCGCACGGGCGCACCCCUAUCCUUAUUUGCCAGCACGUAAUGGUGGGAACUCUAGCGCGAUACUGCCGGUGAUAAACCGGAGGAAGGUGGGGACGACGUCAAGUCAUCAUGGCCCUUACGAGUAGGGCUACACACGUGCUACAAUGGCGUAUACAGAGGGUUGCAAAGCCGCGAGGUGGAGCUAAUCUCACAAAGUACGUCGUAGUCCGGAUCGGAGUCUGCAACUCGACUCCGUGAAGUCGGAAUCGCUAGUAAUCGUGGAUCAGAAUGCCACGGUGAAUACGUUCCCGGGCCUUGUACACACCGCCCGUCACACCAUGGGAGUGGGCUGCAAAAGAAGUGGGUAGUUUAACCUUCGGGAGAACGCUCACCACUUUGUGGUUCAUGACUGGGGUGAAGUCGUAACAAGGUAGCCCUAGGGGAACCUGGGGCUGGAUCACCUCCUU